UGCGUAGGCGGUUCGUUAAGUCUGUCGUGAAAUCCCCGGGCUACAACCCGUGGGAAUGGCGAUGGAUACUGGCGAGCUAGAGUGUGUCAGAGGAGUGGUGGAAUUUCCGGUGUAGCGGUGAAAUGCGUAGAGAUCGGAAGGAACAUCAGUGGCGAAGGCCGGCCAUCUGGGACAACACUGACGCUGAAGCACGAAAGCGUGGGAGCAAACA
rnacentral:rRNA from 1 species